rnacentral:lncRNA from 1 species
AUGCCAGCUGAAGUCAGCAGAGGGUCUGUUGCAGGAAUCCUAGGAGUGCAGGAGCUGGAGUGGUCCUGCUCAUCUUGCUCGUGUGCGUGCGUGCAUGCGUGCAUGUGUGUGUUUCUGCAUCAGAGCUCACACUGCCUGCCUCCGUUUGCAUGUCUUUAUUCUCAGAUGAGGGAAGAAGGGAGGGAGGCAGUGUGGCUGAUGGUAACAAGCGUCCACCCCCAAGCCGGUCCGUUGGGGGAGGGGAGCCUGUGCCUGCCCUCUAGGCACGGCCUUGGCAGAGAUGUCCCAAAACAAGAGGUCUGUGGAGGGUCGUGGCACCAAACCUAUGAUGCCUCUUCUUCUGAUUUCUCAACAGGAAUAAUCCAGGUCGCCUUCACUGGAAAUCAGUUUGCUGAAACUAUUGAUACGCAGAUCUUAACGCUGAAGAAAAGGAGGUCCUGCGCCUUGACCACACAAGCGUGGCCCUUCCUCCAGACCCCCGCUCCGGACGCGCCCACCUAGCGUCUCCCAGGAACCAUGCGGCAGCUCAAGGGGAAGCCCAAGAAGGAGACGUCCAAGGACAAGAAGGAGCGGAAGCAGGCCAUGCAGGAGGCCCGGCAGCAGAUCACCACCGUGGUGCUGCCCACGCUGGCCGUGGUCGUGGUCCUGAUCGUGGUGUUUGUGUACGUGGCCACGCGCCCCACCAUCACCGAGUGAGGGCCCGCCCCGAGGGAGGAGGCUCGGGAGGGGAGAGCAGAAGAAGGGCCUUCAUCCGCUGCGAUUUUCCUGAUGCCGAGCUCUGAGCAGGAGCCCCCGUCUCCUCUGGUCUGUGACUUGAUUAAAGGUUCUCCACUUUUCUCGGGAGGGAAUAGGAAACGUUUUAUCAGUGAACGUGCCAUACACCUUAUGGUCCACUUCAUGUGCCUUUCAGACUUCAAAGCCGUGUGUGUGUGUGUGUGUGUGUGUGUGUGUGUUUCUCGCCUGCAAUCGAUGUGUAGCCCCACCUGGUGAGAGGAGGCGUCUCUGGGUCACGGAUCAGUUGGAAUCAGUGCUCACCCCAUCCCCGUUGUUUUGAACAUGACUUUCCUACACGUGUUCACAAUUUCCAAAGGGACUGUGUUUCUUCUCUGUGCUUCAUGUGAUUUGAAAUAUGUCGACUCAAAAGUGAAAUAUUUAUUUUUUGAAUAAAGGAGAUGAUAGCCUU